GUCUAUGGUUGUACCACCCUGAAUGCACCUGAUCUCGGAAGCUAAGCAGGAUUGGGCCUGGUUAGUACUUGAAUGGGAGAAUGCCUGGGAAUACUGGGUGCUGUAGCAU
rnacentral:rRNA from 1 species